rnacentral:ribozyme from 1 species
AAAAGAUAAAAAAGAAAGAAAAACAACAAAUGUGGUGUUACAAAAGAAGCACUGCAUCCCUUUGUGGUUUUUUUUUUUUGAUGCACGCCGUUUGUGUAUUU